AGGUUGUCAAAAGCACUUGCCCAGUGGGUUAUCAGAACUUAUUAACAUUAGUGUCACUAAAGUUGGUAUUCAACCCCCCGCUGCUAAAUUUGACUGGCUUUAA
rnacentral:sRNA from 1 species